UUUGGACACUGCCUGUGAAUCCAGGCCACACUGACCAGAGACCUGCCUGCACUCCUUUGGAUGAAGAAGGCUACCCGUGUAUACAUGUGUGAACCAUUUCUUGUGUUGGAAAAACAGGAGACCUGAAGAGCUCUUGAUGCUUUUGGUUUGCCUCAUCCAUUAUGUCAGCA